rnacentral:tRNA from 1 species
GCCCCCAUCGUCUAGCGGUUCGCGGUUCAGGACACCUCUCUUUCAAGGAGGCAGCGGGGAUUCAACUUCCCCUGGGGGUA